rnacentral:lncRNA from 1 species
AAAAUCUGACAAGGAUAUGCUGCUGUGGUUGUCUCCCAGAGAAGAGGAGAGAGAGGGUAGUAUGGCAUGAGAAGACAUCUCCCAGAAAUGAAACACGCACAUCAAUUUACUGGGACAUAUCCUCUCUUCCCCACGUGGGAACUUGCACUCACAACAUCGAAGGAGGCAGCUGGAUCUGCUGGGAUCUCUGAAAUCAGGACAUGACGAAACAGGACUUGUAUUGGAACAGGACUCGAAGAAGAAAAAAUGAGGAAAAAUGCAAAAAUUUGUGAGGCCAUGUGCUUCAGUUAUUCCAGAUGGGCUGUAUGUAACAAAACAGGAACAGCUCAACAUGUACUUGAACUGUCUAUUCCAGGAGGUAAGCAAAAUUUUGAGGGAGGGAGGGAGGGAGGGAGGGAGGGAAUUUUA